UACGGAGGGGGCGAGCGUUAUUCGGAAUUAUUGGGCGUAAAGGGCGCGUAGGCGACUGAACAAGUCAAAGGUGAAAUCCCUCGGCUCAACUGAGGAACUGCCUUUGAAACUGUUCGGCUUGAGGCCGGGAGGGGGUAGCGGAAUUCCCAGUGUAGCGGUGAAAUGCGUAGAUAUUGGGAGGAACACCAGUGGCGAAGGCGGCUACCUGGACCGGUUCUGACGCUGAGGCGCGAAAGCGUGGGUAGCAAACAGG
rnacentral:rRNA from 1 species